rnacentral:rRNA from 1 species
GACGAACGCUGGCGGCGUGCCUAAUACAUGCAAGUCGAACGCAGUGGGGACGGGUGAGUAACACGUGGGUAACCUCCCAUCAGAGGGGAUAACACUUGGAAACAGGUGCUAAACCGAUACUGAUGGAUGGACCCGCGGUGCAUUCGCUAGUUGGUGAGGUAACGGCUCACCAAGGCCACGACGCAUAGCCGACCUGAGACGGGGAUAGGCCACAUUGGCACUGAGACACGGCCCAGACUCCCACGGGAGGCAGCAGUAGGGAAUCCUUGGCAAUUGACGAAAGUCUGACCGAGAAACGCCGCGUGAGUGAAGACGGUUUUCGGAGCGUAAAACUCUGUUGUUAGAGAAGCGGUAUCUAACCAGAAAGCCACGGCUAACUACGUGCCAGCAGCCGCGGUCAUUC